CACACAGUUUGCAGAUGAAGAAAAAUGUCCAAUAAACAUAUAACAAAUUACACAAUAUUUUACUCACUAGGGAAAUGCUAAUGAAAACCCCAGUGCGGUUGGAUUUUGCUCAAGUCAGAGUGACUUCUGUCAAGAUAACAAAAGAUGCUGCAUGCUUCUGAGGAUGCGGAGACAACUGAACCUUAUACUGUUUGGAAAUCAAUGAGCCACUUUUACUCUACAACUACCAAAUGUUUUAAUUGGGAAAUGAGUGAAUGUAUUUCAUUACAUUAGUGGAAGGCACUGGAAAUUCUUCAGGUUAAGAAACACAGGAAAGUGAUUGAUGAAGUUCAUGACAAGGAGCUUCAAAGCUAAGCGGACAACAGUUAUGAUGGAAUGGCAUGGCUGCAGUAAUAGACUAAGAGAAGCAGAACCACACAAAUAUAGACCUUGAUUUAGG
rnacentral:lncRNA from 1 species